CAGUAGCCGCGGUAAUACGAAGGGGGCUAGCGUUGCUCGGAAUGACUGGGCGUAAAGGGCGCGUAGGCGGUUUAUACAGUCAGAUGUGAAAUUCCUGGGCUCAACCUGGGGACUGCAUUUGAUACGUAUGGACUUGAGUGGAGAAGAGGGUCGUGGAAUUUCCAGUGUAGAGGUGAAAUUCGUAGAUAUUGGAAAGAACACCGGUGGCGAAGGCGGCGACCUGGUCUUUAACUGACGCUGAGGCGCGAAAGCGUGGGGAGCAAACAGGAUUAGAUACCCCCGUAGUCCCUGUCUCUUAUAC
rnacentral:rRNA from 1 species